rnacentral:rRNA from 1 species
GGCCUUUUGAAUAUAAUCUAAGGUCUGGCCUGCCCACUGAGUAUUUAAAUGGCCGUGGUAUUUUGACCGUGCUAAGGUAGCAUAAUCAUUAGUUUUUUAAUUAAAAACUGGAAUGAAGGGUUGGAUAAGAAAAAAGCUGUCUCUUUUUAAAUUUAUUAGAAUUUUAUUUUUAAGUUAAAAAGCUUAAUUAUAAUUAAAAGACGAGAAGACCCUAUAGAGUUUAAUUAUUUAAAAUUAUUUUAUAUUUUAGAAUUUAAAGAUUAAUUUUUUUAAAUAAUUUGGUUGGGGUGAUUGAAAAAUUUAAAUAACUUUUUUUAUAUAAUUACAUUAAUUUAUGAUUAUUUGAUCCAAUUUUUUUGAUUAUAAGAUUAAAUUACCUUAGGGAUAACAGCGUAAUUUUUUUAGAAAGUUCUUAUUGAAAAAAAAGAUUGCGACCUCGAUGUUGGAUUAAAAUUGAUUUUUGGUGUAGAAGCUAAAAUAUUAGGUCUGUUCGACCUUUAAAAUUUUACA